UAAUACCCGAUGUGCUCAGCAGUUCACUCUGUUGAGUAAAGCUAUGGCGCUUUGGGAUGGGCCCGCGGGCCAUCAGCUAGUCGGCAGGGUAAAGGCCUACCAAGGCUAAGACGGGUAGGGGGCGUGAUAGCGCGAUCCCCCACAGUGACACUGAGACACGGGCCAGACUCCUACGGGAGGCAGCAGUGAGGAAUAUUGCGCAAUGGACGAAAGUCUGACGCAGCGACGCCGCGUGGUGCGAUGAAGGCCUUCGGGUCGUAAAGCCCUUUUCUGGGGGAAGAGAAAGGACGGUACCCCAGGAAUAAGCCCCGGCUAACUACGUGCCAGCAGCCGCGGUAAAACGUAGGGGGCAAGCGUUAUCCGGAUUUACUGGGCGUAAAGAGCGUUGAGGCGGUUCUGUAAGUUGGGCGUGAAAGCCCUGGGCUUAACUCAGGGAAGCCGUUCAAUACUGCGAAACUUGAGGGCAGCAGAGGGAGGUGGAAUUCCCGGAGUAGCGGUGAAAUGCGUAGAUAUCGGGAGGAACACCAGUGGCGAAGUCGGCCUCCUGGGCUGCUCCUGACGCUGAAGGCGAAAGCUAGGGGACCGAACGGGAUUAGAAACCCCGCUAGUCCUAGCCGUAAACGAUGGAUGCUAGGUGUGGGGCCUGUAGAUUCCCUCCGUGCCGCAGUUUACGCGUUAAGCAUCCCGCCUGGGGAGUACGGCCGCAAGGCUAAGACUCUAACGAAUUGACGGGGGCCCGCACAAGCAGCGGAGCGUGUGGUUUAAUUCGAUGCUACACGAAGAACCUUACCUGGGCUUGACAUACAGCUAGUAGUGAAGUGAAAGCGGAUCGAUCCUUCGGGGAGCCUGUACAGGUGCUGCAUGGCUGUCGUCAGCUCGUGCCGUGAGGUGUCGGGUUAAGUCCCGUAACGAGCGCAACCCUUGCUCUUAGUUAUACGUGUCUAAGAGGACUGCCGGCGGUAAGCCGGAGGCACGCUGGGGAUGACGUCAAGUCAGCAUGGCCUUUAUGUCCAGGGCUACACACACGUUACAAUGGCCGGUACAAUGGGUAGCUAAACCGCGAGGUGGAG
rnacentral:rRNA from 1 species